rnacentral:rRNA from 1 species
UGGGGAAUAUUGGACAAUGGGCGCAAGCCUGAUCCAGCCAUGCCGCGUGUGUGAAGAAGGCCUUUUGGUUGUAAAGCACUUUAAGCGAGGAGGAAGCUACUUGGAUUAAUACUCUAAGAUAGUGGACGUUACUCGCAGAAUAAGCACCGGCUAACUCUGUGCCAGCAGCCGCGGUAAUACAGAGGGUGCGAGCGUUAAUCGGAUUUACUGGGCGUAAAGCGUGCGUAGGCGGCUUCUUAAGUCGGAUGUGAAAUCCCUGAGCUUAACUUAGGAAUUGCAUUCGAUACUGGGAAGCUAGAGUAUGGGAGAGGAUGGUAGAAUUCCAGGUGUAGCGGUGAAAUGCGUAGAGAUCUGGAGGAAUACCGAUGGCGAAGGCAGCCAUCUGGCCUAAUACUGACGCUGAGGUACGAAAGCAUGGGGAGCAAACAGG